GGGUUGUGAGGUUAAGCGACUAAGCGUACACGGUGGAUGCCCUGGCAGUCAGAGGCGAUGAAGGACGUGCUAAUCUGCGAUAAGCGUCGGUAAGGUGAUAUGAACCGUUAUAACCGGCGAUUUCCGAAUGGGGAAACCCAGUGUGUUUCGACACACUAUCAUUAACUGAAUCCAUAGGUUAAUGAGGCGAACCGGGGGAACUGAAACAUCUAAGUACCCCGAGGAAAAGAAAUCAACCGAGAUUCCCCCAGUAGCGGCGAGCGAACGGGGAGCAGCCCAGAGCCUGAAUCAGUGUGUGUGUUAGUGGAAGCGUCUGGAAAGGCGCGCGAUACAGGGUGACAGCCCCGUACACAAAAAUGCACAUGCUGUGAGCUCGAUGAGUAGGGCGGGACACGUGGUAUCCUGUCUGAAUAUGGGGGGACCAUCCUCCAAGGCUAAAUACUCCUGACUGACCGAUAGUGAACCAGUACCGUGAGGGAAAGGCGAAAAGAACCCCGGCGAGGGGAGUGAAAAAGAACCUGAAACCGUGUACGUACAAGCAGUGGGAGCACAGAGCAAUCUGUGUGACUGCGUACCUUUUGUAUAAUGGGUCAGCGACUUAUAUUCUGUAGCAAGGUUAACCGAAUAGGGGAGCCGAAGGGAAACCGAGUCUUAACUGGGCGUUAAGUUGCAGGGUAUAGACCCGAAACCCGGUGAUCUAGCCAUGGGCAGGUUGAAGGUUGGGUAACACUAACUGGAGGACCGAACCGACUAAUGUUGAAAAAUUAGCGGAUGACUUGUGGCUGGGGGUGAAAGGCCAAUCAAACCGGGAGAUAGCUGGUUCUCCCCGAAAGCUAUUUAGGUAGCGCCUCGUGAAUUCAUCUCCGGGGGUAGAGCACUGUUUCGGCAAGGGGGUCAUCCCGACUUACCAACCCGAUGCAAACUGCGAAUACCGGAGAAUGUUAUCACGGGAGACACACGGCGGGUGCUAACGUCCGUCGUGAAGAGGGAAACAACCCAGACCGCCAGCUAAGGUCCCAAAGUCAUGGUUAAGUGGGAAACGAUGUGGGAAGGCCCAGACAGCCAGGAUGUUGGCUUAGAAGCAGCCAUCAUUUAAAGAAAGCGUAAUAGCUCACUGGUCGAGUCGGCCUGCGCGGAAGAUGUAACGGGGCUAAACCAUGCACCGAAGCUGCGGCAGCGACGCUUAUGCGUUGUUGGGUAGGGGAGCGUUCUGUAAGCCUGCGAAGGUGUGCUGUGAGGCAUGCUGGAGGUAUCAGAAGUGCGAAUGCUGACAUAAGUAACGAUAAAGCGGGUGAAAAGCCCGCUCGCCGGAAGACCAAGGGUUCCUGUCCAACGUUAAUCGGGGCAGGGUGAGUCGACCCCUAAGGCGAGGCCGAAAGGCGUAGUCGAUGGGAAACAGGUUAAUAUUCCUGUACUUGGUGUUACUGCGAAGGGGGGACGGAGAAGGCUAUGUUGGCCGGGCGACGGUUGUCCCGGUUUAAGCGUGUAGGCUGGUUUUCCAGGCAAAUCCGGAAAAUCAAGGCUGAGGCGUGAUGACGAGGCACUACGGUGCUGAAGCAACAAAUGCCCUGCUUCCAGGAAAAGCCUCUAAGCAUCAGGUAACAUCAAAUCGUACCCCAAACCGACACAGGUGGUCAGGUAGAGAAUACCAAGGCGCUUGAGAGAACUCGGGUGAAGGAACUAGGCAAAAUGGUGCCGUAACUUCGGGAGAAGGCACGCUGAUAUGUAGGUGAAGUCCCUCGCGGAUGGAGCUGAAAUCAGUCGAAGAUACCAGCUGGCUGCAACUGUUUAUUAAAAACACAGCACUGUGCAAACACGAAAGUGGACGUAUACGGUGUGACGCCUGCCCGGUGCCGGAAGGUUAAUUGAUGGGGUCAGCGCAAGCGAAGCUCUUGAUCGAAGCCCCGGUAAACGGCGGCCGUAACUAUAACGGUCCUAAGGUAGCGAAAUUCCUUGUCGGGUAAGUUCCGACCUGCACGAAUGGCGUAAUGAUGGCCAGGCUGUCUCCACCCGAGACUCAGUGAAAUUGAACUCGCUGUGAAGAUGCAGUGUACCCGCGGCAAGACGGAAAGACCCCGUGAACCUUUACUAUAGCUUGACACUGAACAUUGAGCCUUGAUGUGUAGGAUAGGUGGGAGGCUUAGAAGUGUGGACGCCAGUCUGCAUGGAGCCGGCCUUGAAAUACCACCCUUUAAUGUUUGAUGUUCUAACGUGGACCCGUGAUCCGGGUUGCGGACAGUGUCUGGUGGGUAGUUUGACUGGGGCGGUCUCCUCCUAAAGAGUAACGGAGGAGCACGAAGGUUGGCUAAUCCUGGUCGGACAUCAGGAGGUUAGUGCAAUGGCAUAAGCCAGCUUGACUGCGAGCGUGACGGCGCGAGCAGGUGCGAAAGCAGGUCAUAGUGAUCCGGUGGUUCUGAAUGGAAGGGCCAUCGCUCAACGGAUAAAAGGUACUCCGGGGAUAACAGGCUGAUACCGCCCAAGAGUUCAUAUCGACGGCGGUGUUUGGCACCUCGAUGUCGGCUCAUCACAUCCUGGGGCUGAAGUAGGUCCCAAGGGUAUGGCUGUUCGCCAUUUAAAGUGGUACGCGAGCUGGGUUUAGAACGUCGUGAGACAGUUCGGUCCCUAUCUGCCGUGGGCGCUGGAGAACUGAGGGGGGCUGCUCCUAGUACGAGAGGACCGGAGUGGACGCAUCACUGGUGUUCGGGUUGUCAUGCCAAUGGCACUGCCCGGUAGCUAAAUGCGGAAGAGAUAAGUGCUGAAAGCAUCUAAGCACGAAACUUGCCCCGAGAUGAGUUCUCCCUGACUCCUUGAGAGUCCUGAAGGAACGUUGAAGACGACGACGUUGAUAGG
rnacentral:rRNA from 1 species